rnacentral:rRNA from 1 species
UACGGAGGAUCCGAGCGUUAUCCGGAUUUAUUGGGUUUAAGGGGAGCGUAGGUGGAUUGUUAAGUCAGUUGUGAAAGUUUGCGGCUCAACCGUAAAAUUGCAGUUGAAACUGGCAGUCUUGAGUACAGUAGAGGUGGGCGGAAUUCGUGGUGUAGCGGUGAAAUGCUUAGAUAUCACGAAGAACUCCGAUUGCGAAGGCAGCUCACUGGACUGCAACUGACACUGAGGCUCGAAAGUGUGGGUAUCAAACAGG